UUUGCGCAGUUAGUCUUCAUGGAGGCACGUAGCUGGCCUGCCACUUGUCGAGGCAUGUGCACGCCUGAGCUCUUAAAUCCACAACACACCUGUGAACCCACCGUAGGCCUUCGGGCUUAUGCAUAUAUACUCUGAAUGUGUCAUAGAAUGUUCAUGUUGCCUUAAAACGCAAUCAAAUACAACUUUCAACAACGGAUCUCUUGGCUCUCGCAUCGAUGAAGAACGCAGCGAAAUGCGAUAAGUAAUGUGAAUUGCAGAUUUUCAGUGAAUCAUCGAAUCUUUGAACGCACCUUGCGCUCCUUGGUAUUCCGAGGAGCAUGCCUGUUUGAGUGUCAUUAAAUCCUCAACCCCACCGAUUUGCUUCGGGGGGAUUGGACUUGGAGCGUGCUGGCGAAGGUCGGCUCCUCUUUAAAUGCAUCAGUGGAGAAAGAAAGCUCGUCCCAGUGUGAUAAUCCUGUUGUGCUGUGGUGGGGUGAAAAUUCCGCUUCCAACCCGUCCUCCGGGACAAGACAUCUCAAUUUGACCUCAAAUCAGGUAGGACUACCCGCUGAACUUAAGCAUAUCAAUAAGCGGAGGAAAAGAAACUAACAAGGAUUCCCCUAGUAACUGCGAGUGAAGCGGGAAAAGCUCAAAUUUAAAAUCUGGCGGUCGCUCUGGCCGUCCGAGUUGUAAUCUGGAGAAGUGUUUUCCGCGCUGGACAGUGUACAAGUCUCCUGA
rnacentral:rRNA from 1 species